UGAAAGGAUUAUGCAAAUUUAAAAAUGAAUGCUGUGUAUCAUCUGCAUAUUUCAAUUGGAACUUUGGGAAAAGGCUCUUGGCACAAUAAUUCUGAGAAAUGUUUCACCAAUUACCCAGAAUUCCCAGCUCGACAUGCAAGUCAACACAGACUUGGAUCCAGUUCAGACUUCAUCCUGCAUUUCUUCAAGCACCCUUAGUAAGGGAGCACUAGAUCACAACCCAUGAUUUGGUUUUAAAGGAUUUAUCUCCAGGGAAUAGUUAAAGAAACAACUGACUUUAUUUAGGGAAAGUUGAUUUUAAUUCAUACUGAUACCAGGCAAAGGCAAAAUACAUGUAUAGGAUUUUCAUCUGGUUAUUAAAUCUGUACAAUCAUGUACUACUACAGUAAAAUGUAUGCUCACUAAUGCAAUUGUUUUAUUGACCAUUUUAAAAAAUGAUUUAUUAGAUCAUAAAAGAUAAAUACACGUUCUGACAUUAUUUGCAUUGAUUUUAGCUUUCAACAAAACAAAUAGUUCAGAAACAGUGUGUAUAAUUUAGAAACCCCAGGUUAUUCCGCAGUGCUCUACAUCAUUAUAAAAGGGGCAUAUUUAACAAUAAAUGAGACAAUUACACAAUGUUACAGGAACACUACUAGGUUACUGCUUGUUUUCGCAGGGUCCUAUUUCAACUUAAUUAGGUGAAACUACUCUUAAUAUUAUACAUAGCUAUCUAAGAAAAAUAAAAAAUAAAAAAAAUGUUUUUUAGUGGAUUGCAGUUUGUUUUCCAGCCGUUAUAUUUAAAGGUGGCGCUGUUUCUACAGACAAGGUUUAUAAUGGCUUUGCUGUCUCCAUAAAAACAUUUAUCAAUCACUUGUACAAAUAAGAAGUAAGGCACCCAGAACCACUGUAAAUAAAUGUUGUGGCUUUAUUAACGUAAGAAUAAAACAACUCUGCUUAAAGUAGCCUUAUUUACGCAACAGAAAAAUAUCUACAGCUGUUGAUGUGACACUUCUUAUUUACCCAAACAAUUAAUUGAGAUUCCUAACCUUAGUAGCAAUGGGAACUCUCAAUAUUGCUCUGUUGCCAGUACCUUUGCCAGACUGUAAGGAUCAGCCCAGUAGUAAUUCUCAUGAUAUGUGAAGUGUUAUCUUGAAAACCCGGUGUGCAGCGGUCCAUAGAGGUCUGGAAUGGAGCUCAGCAGAAGUGCACCUUACAGUCAAGGUACAUAUUAAUGAUCUGUCUAUAUCUAUGGAUUAUGCCAUUGCCUGUCCACACACAUAUACACUCUUGCUUUCUCCCUGUCUAAUCAUGUAUACAGAGGAACAGAAGAUGCUGUUACCUGUACACAACAGAUCCCAUUCCUUUCCCAGCUCAGUCCUCAUCAUGAAUCAGUAUCCCUGUCUGGGUAGACUUUGCUCUGCAGGGCACACUAUGCCCAAAGAUACAUUCCAAAUUGUAGAUCUUUUAUGUUCUGUUCUUCCAUCGAUCUCUUUAUCAGACUCUCCUCCAGUUUCUUCUGUUAUAAACCAGUAUCUGGAUUUCCUCCUGCACUUGGGGCUCUCUUCAUAGUAUGUUGUAUAUCCUACUUUAUCACAUGUGUUUUAUCCCAUUUAACUAUUGUACAAUGUAUCCUGUUUUCCUCUGCAUGUCUUCUCUUUAGUAUUCCAACUGCUUUUCUCUUCCUGUUUUUACAUGACCCCUCUCUCUGUCUUGUCCAAACCGUCUCCUUCCUAUUCAUGACUAUUUUGCUACCUUCUCUGGCUCUGUGAGUGCUCUCUGCUGAUUGCAAAGAGUCUGCUCUCCCCCCCCCCCCUUCUCUCUCUCACUUUUUUGGGUGGCGGUGGGGGUGGGGGAGGUGAUAUAUGUGGGGGUGUAAAAUGAAGGGUCUGAGGGGAAAAAAAAUUCAAAGAAAGUCACCAAUGAAAAGGUAAAAAUGUAGUAAUGCAAGAAAGCCUGUUAAAUGGAACACUGAGGGAUAGACAAAAAUAAAUCGAGAAAUGUAUGACAGAAAAAGAAACAAGAGAAUGUCAUUAUCAGGAUAAAAGAUUCAUAUAUUAUCAAAAGAAGCAAAUAAUUCAUCCUGAGAAUCCUGCAGAUUAACAUAUGAUCAACACAUGUUCAAAUCAUAAAAACAAGGCAUACUCUAUGUAGCAUUUAAGAGAACAUCAGUUUCUGGGAAAUGACUAAUCUUUGACACUGCAAUUCUUGUGAUCAGUGAACGUGCAUCAUAGGAAACAUAGUCCACAACAACUGCAGUGCCACUGACUGUUGGUGGGUGUUUUUUUUCUGUAAAGUACAAAUCAUAUUAUUCUCAGCAGCUGCAAUACCAUAAAUUGCCUAUCUCUAAUUAUCUGAGCCCACAUUUUCUAUGCAGAUGUGUUAAUGAGUAUGUUGAGCCUUUUAUGGUCAGACAUCAUCUGCAAUGCACAUCUCUUUUGAAAUGGAAAUGACUAAGCAGCAUACUCUUGCACUGUAUCUAUAUGUCUUAACUCUCCUUUGUAGAACAAACCUGAUGGUUGUUACCACUUUUACCAAUGUGAAUGUAUGUUCUUAAAUGUCUGUGCGUAAAAUAACCUUACAGAAAGGCAACACAUACAGAGUUACUCACUAAACACAGAAUAUUAGCUAAUUAAACUCAAAUUUGCUAAAUGUAGGCUAAAAUAGACAAAUAGUGACCAUAGGCAAGUUGGAGACGUUUUCCAAAAGACUUACUUUAGCCUCAAUUUUGCAAUCGGGGGUUAAUAUGCUAAAAUGUGGGGUUUAGUGAAUAAACGCCUCUAGUGCCUUUGAAUACAAGGAUAAUAACACGGAGAUUACAUCUACAAGCAAGGAGGGGCCCUCUGGAAAAUUCCCCAGUAGGGUGAAAUGAAGCCAGUGGAUGGGAGGGAGCUAACAAUAUUUGCUCUGUCUACAAGCAGCUUGUUAUGUAUCUGCUUACAGCCAUUUACAGGGAGGGGUGGCAAUAGCUACCAGCAUGUCAUCUUAAUCCUGACAACACAGCCGCACUGCAAUCCCUGGCGAGAAUUUAUUAUACAACCAAUGCAUUUUUUUAUUUGACAUUGUUUCGAUAUUGUCUCUGGUGCAAUAACAUAUAAUCUACGGUGCUGUUCUGUGAAUAAGCAUACACACGUUUAGUGACAAAAGAAAUUAUGUUUACUGUUGUUUCUGUUCAAAGUAAGUCGUUUAUCAUAUACAUAUCCUUUAUUUGAAAUCUGCAUUGUGCAGCACGGCAGAAUAUGUUGCAAACUUACAAAUAAUAAAAAAAAGGUAAAAGUGCAGUAGGUUGAGGUGGUCCAAUCAUGAUCACAUUGUCUGGAAGGAAAGAUUGAUUACCACAUUCUUUAUAAACCAUCUGCGUACUCUGUUGGCACUGUAUAAAUGAUAAUAUUGUACUGGAAGCAUCUUCUAAUCAAGAUUCCAUAGCAUUUGGAUAAUUGAUCCUAGAAUGUGCAAUACAAGGAGCUUGCUCAGGCACAGACAUCUUGCAAUCCAGUACCAGGUAUUCAUUAACUCUCUGAGUGCAUGAGGUGUACCCAAAUGCAUUACCUUUCAAGUGUUAGGAACACCUCUGGCACUCAAAGGUUCAAACAGUGGGAGGGAACAGGUUGCAACUAUUAGUCUUGUGUGUUCAUGUACUUUCCCUAUGAACCUGUAAAAUCAGUAUAUCCUUUUAAAGGGGAGCUAAUAGCAAUAGAGAAUUGACAGAGCACUCUGUAGGUUCCCAAACAUGGCCCUCUCCAGGCUCAUGGUACACUAAGCUGGGGAUCCCAUUAAGUAUCCCAAUAUUAUUAUUUUUUUUAUUAUUAUUAUUGCCAUUUAUAUAGCACCAACAUAUAGCAGCAAACCAAAUAGAAGCUGGACAACACGAUCUGAAUGUGGUGUCUUUCCACAAUAAAAUAUCCUCCAUAGACAGAUCAUGCUGCCCUGCUUAUUUUUGCUAUACCUAAAGGGGAACUGAUUCUUACACUGAUUUCUAAUAUUAUGGUUAUUUAUCCACCAUAAUUAUAAUUCAAUUAUUAAUUCGCUAACAUAUAUUUUUUAGGUGUGAAAAAUAAAAUGAAACGAAGAAAGUCUCACACAUCUUAAUCCUCCAACUAAGCGCCAUCAUAGUUCCCUGCCAGUCAUUGCUGUAACCUCUGUCUUUUGUACCAAGCAACCAGCAUACAGAAAGCAUACAAAGAAGAAGAAAAGAAAGAAAAUAGUGUUUCUAUUUCUACAAUGUAUCUGGCUGUGCCUGGACUGAACUGUAUUAAUUAUGUAAUUCACUAAAACUUUAAGUUAAAUAUAAAAGAAAACAGAGCAACAGACAAAAAAAGUUAAAGGAGUACCCCACACCCAGUAAAAAUUUAAGUACAGUUUUUAUGGGGGCAGGAGUGUCUGAGUAUCGUAGAACCUUCACUGUUUAAACCAGGGGUGCCCAAAAGUUAGAUCCUCCAUGAUGCUUUUCAUGCCUUUACAAUGCUUUUAGAAUGACACAGCAUCAUGUUAGGCACCCAUGGUUUAAACCAUGCUCCAAAGGUUUGACCCAAAGUUGAUCCUCUAGCAUCUGACUUCUCUAUUGUCCUUCCUCCCAGCCGCUACACACUCCAGGAAGGUUUGUAAUAGGAUGAGUGAGUCAGCUGACUCUGUUAGCCUAUUACGGACCACUAACUGAAAAUAGGUUGCACUACUACUCUGAAUAGAUGGCCAUUGACAUGAAAUUCUCAAAAGUUAUAGGUGAUUUUCAAUGUUGUAUUCAAUGGUGUAAGUUUCAAAUAUUUGAUGGUUCCCCUUUAAAUCAGUUGCAUACUCUAAAAUAAAAAACAAAAAACAAGUGUUUUCCCCCUUUUUUUUAUUUACUAUGAUCAAAUAAGUGUACUUACUGAUGACCAGAUGAAAUUUUUUUUAUAUGCUUAAAAGACAGUUUUUAGAACAGUCCUAUUUAUUAAAUAAAAUUUAAUUAAAAAAAUAUUAAAUAAAUAAAGGCAUGUUAAGAUAAUUUACAAAACAGAACAGUGUUAAAAAAAAAAAAGAUUAUUAAUAUUACUGAUGGUCCGAGUCUAUUAAAAUGCUGUAAUUUGUAUGUGUUAUAUUUACUUUAGCUAUGUCUGUGAAUAGGAUUAUGUGGUGGGCAUUAAACAGCCCAGUCCCUUAUAAACACAGUCCCAGGGCCAUCGAAAGGACUAUUGAGGUCCCGAGCGCGCAGCCCAAGUACCCCACCGACCACAAGAGAGACCCCAGACCCCAGGCACCUUACCAGGGAAUAUAGCGGAACAAACCACCCAGGAAUCCUUUCUGAUGAGCAGGCUCAAAUCCACAACUAUCUGGAACAGCACAUAAAGGGUCAUCUGUUCAUGGGCUUGAACAAGCCACAGCAUACAACAGCUUUACCUUCUACAGGAUUUGCCUCAGCUGUAACAUUGGUGAGAUCCAUCUAAAUAUCAUGUAUACAUGAUACUUACCUCUGGCUCUUUUUUUAGUGUGUACACACUAGACUGUAAAUAUAAAUUUUUUUUUUCUUUUUUUCAUCAUUUUUUCAUUUCUCUUUUUCCAUUUUUUUCUUUUUUUCUGCAAUUGUUAUAUUUUUCAUUUUUUGCCAGAUAGAAACCUGGUUUUGAACAUACAGAGGGCUCUCAGCUAUACAGUGCGGUUAUGCACUAUCACUUCUGACAAAGUCGGACUCAAAUAGGGGUUGAUUUGUCAUGUUUGGUGUAUCACUAAUAAUUUCACUGGUUGUGAUAGAAUAGGUGUAACAAUUAAGCAUUUUACAUUGCCUUGAUUGUAUAUAUCAUAUUGCUUUAAAUAUUAUAAUCUAUAUUUGAUAGGCAAUUAAUUAAAAAUCAAGUUUUCUUCUAACAAACUAUUUUGAGUGCGGUAUCAUAUGUUUUUGUAUAUAUAUUGAAGGUAUUAAGCGUGGGCUACCUUGCUAUCUAGCACCAAUACAGAUGCCUGUACAUAUCAUUUUUUUUUUGUUAAAUAAAUAAAGGCAUGUAAAGAUCAUUUACAAAACAGAACAGUGUUAAAAAAAAUGAUUAUUAAUAUUACUGAUGGUCCUGGUCUAUUAAAAUCCUGUCAUUUUUAUGUGUUAUAUUUACUUUAGCUAUGUGAAUAGGAUUAUGUGGUGGGCAUUAAACAGCCCAGUCCCUUAUAAACACAGUCCCAGGAAAUUUUAGACGAAAUGAUAAAUUAUAUUGCAAUGUAUGGCACUUAUGUUAAUUCCUCUGCACGUCUGUGUUUAUAUCUAUAGUUCUGAGACAUCUCCCGAUGUGUUCAGGUGUAAGUUGAACUAUGUGGUGGGUGUUUAAAAGACAAGGUUUCAUUUGACAUGGAAAAUAAAAUAACGUUGGAUUCCUCAUCAUUUUAUGAAACAGAG
rnacentral:lncRNA from 1 species